rnacentral:tRNA from 1 species
GCCGGGGUGGCGGAAUCGGCAGACGCACAGGACUUAAAAUCCUGCGGUAGGUGACUACCGUACGAGUUCAAGUCUCGUCCUCGGCACCA